GCCUGUAACCUUUCACCCACAGGUGGCCUACCAGUAUUAAGGUGCAACUGCAUUGGUCCCUUUUUAAUUGACCAUCGAUCGUUGACACAAAAUACGAUGGGAACAUUAUUCGACAAAAAGAACCGAUCACGACAUGAAUUUACUAAAACAACGGGUAACGAAAUCAAUUAUAAAAACAAACACGUGUAAAUGUGUAAAAGUUUGUAAUCGUAACAUGAAAACCGAUUUAAGAUUAUUUCUUAUACGAAGAAACACCGAAUACCCAUCAUGGCAUAUAUAUUUCCAUACUAAUUUGAGCCGCUAUGGGACCCGUUUCGUAGUCGAGGUCGGACUCACUUCGGAACCGAUUCGGACCGAGGUCGGACUCGUUUGCUUGAAGGGAAAAGUUAAACUCGAUCUACCGUACUGUCAACUCGAUCCUACAUGUAUACGUAUACCUAUGAAUCUUUUAUUUUCUUAUCGCUGUCAAUCUGUCAUUCUCAUUCAUUUAAAUUUCGUGCGAUGAUCGCGACUGUCACCGAGGGAACCUCCUUCAGGGAUUUCACCAAGGAAAAAGAAUGGUCAUGAUUGCAUCGGAUGGACCAGUUCCCCAGGCGUCCGUAACAAGGGG